rnacentral:tRNA from 1 species
GCCUCGGUGGUGGAAUUGGCAGACGCGUUGGACUCAAAAUCCAAUGGGAUUCACUUCCCGUGUCGGUUCGACUCCGACCCGAGGCACCA